GAAAAGUUGGGGUUGAACUCUGCACCCAAGGAACGCUCAAGUUCACGAACACUACCUCAGGAACCUACUAAUGCACUGCAGAAAGUUGAGGUUGAGCAUGCGAAGCAAGAUGACGCAUUAUCAGAUCUCAGUAACCUGUUGGGAGAGCUCAAACAUAUGGCUAUUGACAUGGGGUCUGAAAUCGAAAGGCAGAACAGAUCCCUGGAUCAUUUUCAAGAUGAUGUAGAUGAGCUCAACUUCCGAGUUAAAGGUGCUAACCAGCGUGGCCGCCGCUUACUUGGCAAAUGACCUAGCAUUUAUCUCAUGUAUUAGCACUAGAUGUUAACGUGCUCAUUUUCUUCAUAAUACCAAUUUUUUCAUCUGUUAUUUCUGAUUUUUUUUUUAGUAUACCUGGUGAUCGGCUUGCAAAUCAACAAAUUGCUGAAAUUUAC
rnacentral:misc_RNA from 1 species